UGUGGUUCAAGUGGUGGAGGUGUGAUCCAAGUGGUAGAGUGCCUGCCUUGAGCAUAAAACAAAGCUAUAGCACAAGGCCCUAAAUCCAAGCCUCAAUACCACAUCCUCCCCCCAAAAUUAGCUCUAUGUUAAA